GAUGAAGAACGUAGCGAAAUGCGAUAACUAGUGUGAAUUGCAGAUUUCAGUGAAUCAUCGAGUCUUUGAACGCACAUUGCGCCCCCUGGUAUUCCGGGGGGCAUGCCUGUCCGAGCGUCAUUACAACCCUCAAGCUCAGCUUGGUGUUGGGCCCCGCCGCCCCGGCGGGCCCUAAAGUCAGUGGCGGUGCCGUCCGGCUCCGAGCGUAGUAAUUCUUCUCGCUCUGGAGGUCCGGUCGUGUGCUCGCCAGCAACCCCCAAUUUUUUUCAGGUUGACCUCGGAUCAGGUAGGGAUACCCGCUGAACUUAAGCAUAUCAAUAAGCGGAGGA
rnacentral:misc_RNA from 1 species